rnacentral:rRNA from 1 species
AUUGAACGCUGGCGGCAGGCUUUACACAUGCAAGUCGAACGAGUGGCGGCCGGGUGAGUAAUGUAUGGGAAACUGCCCAAUGGAGGGGGAUCACUACUGGAAAGGGAAGCUAAUACCGCAUAACAUUGGAGGUGCCCAGAUGGGAUUAGCUAGAAGGUGGGGUAAAGGCUAACCUAGGCGACGAUCCCUAGCUGGUCUGAGAGGAUGACCAGCCACACUGGAACUGAGACACGGCCCAGACUCCUACGGGAGGCAGCAGUGGGUAAUAUUGCACAAUGGGCGAUAGCCUGAUGCAGCCAUGCCGCGUGUAUGAAGAAGGCCUUCGGGUUGUAAAGUACUUUCAGCGGGGAAGCGUUACCAACAGAAUAAGCACCGGCUAACUUCGUGCCAGCAGCCGCGGUAAUAC